ACCCGUGCUGAUCCGCCCCCGCCUGGUCCGCCCGGAGCCGGCGUUCCCGCGCCGGGGCUCCUCUCCAGCCUGGGCCCCUCCAGGGGAGGCUCGCGGUCACCCACCUUAUGUUUGGGGCAUUUCAAAGAAAAGUUCUCUUCGAUGAAUAUGCAACCUGUGAGCAAGAGAAGUUCGUGCGGUCAGAACGGCGUCUUGUCCGGCCGGGAGGGGGGCCCACCGCCCCGAACGCCCUCAGCUGCAGGUUUUUAUUUCAAAGAGCAAGGAUCACGGUUUUCCUGUCUGUCCCACUGAGACAUGAGCCCCCAAGGAGGCUGGGAAGCUGCAACACUGGAGAGGACAGCGCGCAGGACGUGGAGCCGGCCAGACACUUUACAGGUGGGGAGCCGAGUGCAGAGACAGUGGUGGACUCACCCAGUCCACACCUGAAGCAUGCCACCAGGACUGGGGGCUCCGGGCUCUCUGGCCCAGGCCAUCAGUAUGGCACCUGCCUGGUGAUGUGAACUCCUAUUCAGCCUUUUUCCAAGGCCCAGCCCAGUAGCCCUGCUCUUGGAGGCCCGAGACCCUCCCGAGCUGUAGGCGCCCCUCGGCAACGGCAGCUCACAUACAGCUUUCCACUUUGUAGUUUGUGCUUCUGGGCCCUCCUCCAGCAGGUGGCUGGGGACGGAGGUGUCUCCUUGUCACCAGCACUGCCCAGCUCAGGGCCCAGCCGAGAGACAUGAGAAGCACCCGAUGGUGGCCCCGGCUUCUUGGCAGCUGGAACAAGUCUGGCGAGGAGAGAGGGAAGACAGGUGAGUC